AAAAAGAGGAAGCUGUAGUGCACGAUGCAGAUGUAAUGCAUUCUGAGAAGUGGUUGCUUUUCCCUGCUUCCACUGAAAGUCUGUUCUAAGAAAGGUUUCUAACGCAACCUCAGUUAAAAACAUAUCCAAUGGUUAAAAUGGGCAGAAAGAAGGUACCCUUUGAUAAAUUAAAGAUGGAGUAACCAUGUUCCUCAAGAAUCAUGUUUUCCAAAGGAAGCACGAUAUAGAGGCACAGAAAUCUGGGUUCUAGCCUCAGGUCUGCCACUGGUGUGCCAUGUGGCCUUGGGGAAGUCAUUACUACUACUCUGGGCCUCUAUUUACUCAUCUGAAUAUUGGGCAUAAGACCUACUCACCUCCUAGGGCUAUUGUGAGGGUUAAUUCAAUUUGGUAUGUCAAGCAAAUUGCAUUACUAUAGCUUUCUGUCUGAAGGUUUCCAAGAAGUGCAAAAGCAGAAUAUCUGAAAUUCUGCAGCAUGCCAUUUCAAAAAUUAUGCCCAUAAAAUAGAUGGGUACAUUGCAAAGUGCUUUGAAAAUGAAAAGCACAAUGCGUGUGUUUUUUGUGGGGUGAGAGGGUUUCUUUCUCCACCUCACAUCAAGCUAACGUUUUUUCCUUCAGUAAUGGGCUAGAUGCAACUCCCUCCACUUGGAAUUCACAUUGUCUACCUUUUCAAAAAUGGGAGGAAUGUGCCCCCCACUUCCUUAGACUUAGCCUGACUGUGAAAACAGACUAAUGGCAUUAAAAAACGAACUUUUCAUUGUUCCUGUAGGUUUCUAAUUAGCUACCUUUUCCGUUCACAUGAAGAAAGAAACUACAGAAAUCUCAAUAUAUGGACACCAUUCCCAGAGGCAGAGUAAGACAGCACUUGAAUAUAAAAUAAUGACUACUGCUGUAUCUUCAAAACAGUCCAAAGGCGGACAAUUGUGGUCACAGGAGUUGGACUGGGGGGCACUCCAGGACCUUGACGGAGGUGGCGGGGGAUGGAAAGGCAUUCUAGCCUGCUGAGGGGUGUGAAGGCCCAAGGGACGGAGGGUGGCACGGGAGUCUUUAAGGCUGUGGAGUUGUGUGUCUGUCAGCUCCAAAGAGAGCCCUGCUCCCUCAAAUGGGAGGUCCUGAACGGUUUGCAUCUCCUGGGACAGCGCAGAGGAUCGUAACCAGGAGCUGCACCUCAUGACCUCUGCGGAGGCGACUACCGUGGCCGCUGAGUCCAUAGGAUCCCAGGCUAUCUGGAAGGUGCCUCUCGCCACCGCUUUGCCCUCGUCCACCAAGACGGCGAACUCCUGGGCUCAGUCCUGUGGGAGGCCCUCCUUAAACUUGUUGAUGGAGUCCCACAGGUUGAAGUUGUACCUGGCUAGCAGGGCCUGCUGGUUAAACACCCGAAAUUGCAGGCUGGCUUUCCAAUAAAUUUUCCAGCCAAACAA